rnacentral:ncRNA from 1 species
GAAAGCCGUAUGAGGGCAAACCUCACGUACGGUUUGAUGUGGCAGGGGAUGGAAAAGUACUAUGGAGAACCUAAACGGGCACAAAGCUGGAAACGGCAGUAACAGACAAGGAGAUACCUAAUGCAACUCGCCAUUCCUUGACCCUAC